rnacentral:rRNA from 1 species
CUCUUUCUGUUUAUUUAUUUUAAGUAUGGCCUGCCCACUGAUUAAUUAAAUGGCCGCGGUAUUUUGACCGUGCAAAGGUAGCAUAAUCAUUAGUCUUUCAAUUGGAGGCUGGAAUGAAUGGUUUGACGAAAUAACAACUGUCUUGUAAUUAUUUUAAUUGAAUUUAAUUAUUAAGUUAGAAAGCUUAAAUUUGAUUUUGGGACGAGAAGACCCUAUAGAGUUUAUAUAGUUUUUUCUAUAAGAAAGGUUAGUUUAAUGUGUUUAUAUUGAAAACUAUUUAGUUGGGGUGACUGAAAGAUAAUAUGUAACUCUUUUAUUUGUAUUAGUACUGAUCUGUAUAUAUUUGAUCCAYYYAUGAUGAUUACAAGACUAAAUUACC